rnacentral:rRNA from 1 species
UACGGAGGGUGCGAGCGUUGUCCGGAAUCACUGGGCGUAAAGGGCGCGUAGGCGGCCGUGUAAGUCACUUGUGAAAUCCCGGGGCUCAACUCCGGGGCCGCAGGUGAGACUGCGUGGCUAGAGCACGGUAGAGGCGAGUGGAAUUCCCGGUGUAGCGGUGGAAUGCGUAGAUAUCGGGAGGAACACCGGUGGCGAAGGCGGUUCUCUGGGCCUGUACUGACGCUGAGGAGCGAAAGCGUGGGGAGCGAACAGG